AGUGGGAUAACUGGGUCAAAUGGUUGUUCCAUUCUAAGUUUUCUAAGGAAUCUCCAUACUGCUUUCCAGAAUGGCUGUACCAAUUUAUAGUCCCACCAGCAAU
rnacentral:pre_miRNA from 1 species